CUCGGGUUACCGAAUUCAGACAAACUCCGAAUGCCAAUUAAUUUAACUUGGGAGUCAGAACAUGGGUGAUAAGGUCCGUGUUCGAAAGGGAAACAGCCCAGACCACCAGCUAAGGUCCCAAAAUAUAUGUUAAGUGGAAAAGGAUGUGGCGUUGCCCAGACAACUAGGAUGUUGGCUUAGAAGCAGCCAUCAUUUAAAGAGUGCGUAAUAGCUCACUAGUCGAGUGACACUGCGCCGAAAAUGUACCGGGGCUAAACAUAUUACCGAAGCUGUGGAUUGUCCUUUGGACAAUGGUAGGAGAGCGUUCUAAGGGCGUUGAAGCAUGAUCGUAAGGACAUGUGGAGCGCUUAGAAGUGAGAAUGCCGGUGUGAGUAGCGAAAGACGGGUGAGAAUCCCGUCCACCGAUUGACUAAGGUUUCCAGAGGAAGGCUCGUCCGCUCUGGGUUAGUCGGGUCCUAAGCUGAGGCCGACAGGCGUAGGCGAUGGAUAACAGGUUGAUAUUCCUGUACCACCUAUAAUCGUUUUAAUCGAUGGGGGGACGCAGUAGGAUAGGCGAAGCGUGCGAUUGGAUUGCACGUCUAAGCAGUAAGGCUGAGUAUUAGGCAAAUCCGGUACUCGUUAAGGCUGAGCUGUGAUGGGGAGAAGACAUUGUGUCUUCGAGUCGUUGAUUUCACACUGCCGAGAAAAGCCUCUAGAUAGAAAAUAGGUGCCCGUACCGCAAACCGACACAGGUAGUCAAGAUGAGAAUUCUAAGGUGAGCGAGCGAACUCUCGUUAAGGAACUCGGCAAAAUGACCCCGUAACUUCGGGAGAAGGGGUGCUCUUUAGGGUUAACGCCCAGAAGAGCCGCAGUGAAUAGGCCCAAGCGACUGUUUAUCAAAAACACAGGUCUCUGCUAAACCGUAAGGUGAUGUAUAGGGGCUGACGCCUGCCCGGUGCUGGAAGGUUAAGAGGAGUGGUUAGCUUCUGCGAAGCUACGAAUCGAAGCCCCAGUAAACGGCGGCCGUAACUAUAACGGUCCUAAGGUAGCGAAAUUCCUUGUCGGGUAAGUUCCGACCCGCACGAAAGGCGUAACGAUUUGGGCACUGUCUCAACGAGAGACUCGGUGAAAUCAUAGUACCUGUGAAGAUGCAGGUUACCCGCGACAGGACGGAAAGACCCCGUGGAGCUUUACUGUAGCCUGAUAUUGAAAUUCGGCACAGCUUGUACAGGAUAGGUAGGAGCCUUUGAAACGUGAGCGCUAGCUUACGUGGAGGCGCUGGUGGG
rnacentral:rRNA from 1 species